rnacentral:rRNA from 1 species
CAGUCGCCGCGGUAAUACGGAAGGUCCAGGCGUUAUCCGGAUUUAUUGGGUUUAAAGGGAGCGUAGGCUGGAGAUUAAGUGUGUUGUGAAAUGUAGACGCUCAACGUCUGACUUGCAGCGCAUACUGGUUUCCUUGAGUACGCACAACGUUGGCGGAAUUCGUCGUGUAGCGGUGAAAUGCUUAGAUAUGACGAAGAACUCCGAUUGCGAAGGCAGCUGACGGGAGCGCAACUGACGCUUAAGCUCGAAGGUGCGGGUAUCAAACAGGAUUAGAGACCCCUGUAGUCCCUGUCUCUUAUAU